GCUGAGGUCGGGGGAGAAAGCACAUCAACAUCUUCAGAAUAUGGAACAUUCAUCAAUGGUGAUAAUGUCAUCAACAUUACAUCACUUCCAGCAGCCAUUUUACUUCCCUUCAGAUAUCUAGUACAGUGUAGCAUAUCUACGUAUUCUAUAGUCCAGAAGAAAUUUUGAUGACUGACCAUGACUCUUCUGUAGUGACGUUUACAUCCUGCAGCAGCAAACGGAAAAUAAAAACAAAGACAUGAGUAAAUUAGGUUUGUUUUAUAACUCUAAAGUUAAACCGUUAAGACUUCUGUUCUUACCUUUGGCUUUUCAUUUUUUCUGUCAUCCUGCAAAGACAAUCGGUCCAUUUAAAAAUUGCUGGUGGCAGACAACUUCAGAAAAUGUGCUCAUUACAAAACCCACUGCACAGAACGGCCACAACUUUACAUGACUGUAUAAUCUAACGUGAACCAAGAGCUGUAUGAAAAGGAUCAGGAAGUAAUCAUUAAAAGGGGACUCAGGACAGUUCUCAGUGUUUGUUUUUUGUUUUUUUUAAAUCCACCAUUCUCACGGAAGACCAACCUAUCAGAGAGAGAAUGCAUGACCAACGAGCUGUCGAUCAUUUACCCUGUACACUCAUAGCCUUAUGCAUGAUGUAGCAGGAUUAAUUUUCUUCUGCGUGGUAACAGAAUGAAAACAAACACUGACUGUCAAAGCCAAUAAAAGUUGUAGUUUACCAUGUGAAGCUCCCCAAUGCAGAACUGCUGCAGCAUCUCUCUGGCAUCUGUGGAGUGACCCACAUCCUCAAAGCUCUCCGUUGCA